rnacentral:rRNA from 1 species
GAGCUUGCUCCACCGAAAGAAAAAGAGUGGCGAACGGGUGAGUAACACGUGGGUAACCUGCCCAUCAGAAGGGGAUAACACUUGGAAACAGGUGCUAAUACCGUAUAACACUAUUUUCCGCAUGGAAGAAAGUUGAAAGGCGCUUUUGCGUCACUGAUGGAUGGACCCGCGGUGCAUUAGCUAGUUGGUGAGGUAACGGCUCACCAAGGCAACGAUGCAUAGCCGACCUGAGAGGGUGAUCGGCCACAUUG